UGAACGCUAGCUACAGGCUUAACACAUGCAAGUCGAGGGGCAGCAUGGUCUUAGCUUGCUAAGGCCGAUGGCGACCGGCGCACGGGUGAGUAACACGUAUCCAACCUGCCGUCUACUCUUGGACAGCCUUCUGAAAGGAAGAUUAAUACAAGAUGGCAUCAUGAGUCCGCAUGUUCACAUGAUUAAAGGUAUUCCGGUAGACGAUGGGGAUGCGUUCCAUUAGAUAGUAGGCGGGGUAACGGCCCACCUAGUCUUCGAUGGAUAGGGGUUCUGAGAGGAAGGUCCCCCACAUUGGAACUGAGACACGGUCCAAACUCCUACGGGAGGCAGCAGUGAGGAAUAUUGGUCAAUGGGCGAGAGCCUGAACCAGCCAAGUAGCGUGAAGGAUGACUGCCCUAUGGGUUGUAAACUUCUUUUAUAAAGGAAUAAAGUCGGGUAUGGAUACCCGUUUGCAUGUACUUUAUGAAUAAGGAUCGGCUAACUCCGUGCCAGCAGCCGCGGUAAUACGGAGGAUCCGAGCGUUAUCCGGAUUUAUUGGGUUUAAAGGGAGCGUAGAUGGAUGUUUAAGUCAGUUGUGAAAGUUUGCGGCUCAACCGUAAAAUUGCAGUUGAUACUGGAUAUCUUGAGUGCAGUUGAGGCAGGCGGAAUUCGUGGUGUAGCGGUGAAAUGCUUAGAUAUCACGAAGAACUCCGAUUGCGAAGGCAGCCUGCUAAGCUGCAACUGACAUUGAGGCUCGAAAGUGUGGGUAUCAAACAGGAUUAGAUACCCUGGUAGUCCACACGGUAAACGAUGAAUACUCGCUGUUUGCGAUAUACAGCAAGCGGCCAAGCGAAAGCGUUAAGUAUUCCACCUGGGGAGUACGCCGGCAACGGUGAAACUCAAAGGAAUUGACGGGGGCCCGCACAAGCGGAGGAACAUGUGGUUUAAUUCGAUGAUACGCGAGGAACCUUACCCGGGCUUAAAUUGCAGAUGAAUUACGGUGAAAGCCGUAAGCCGCAAGGCAUCUGUGAAGGUGCUGCAUGGUUGUCGUCAGCUCGUGCCGUGAGGUGUCGGCUUAAGUGCCAUAACGAGCGCAACCCUUGUUGUCAGUUACUAACAGGUUCCGCUGAGGACUCUGACAAGACUGCCAUCGUAAGAUGUGAGGAAGGUGGGGAUGACGUCAAAUCAGCACGGCCCUUACGUCCGGGGCUACACACGUGUUACAAUGGGGGGUACAGAGGGCCGCUACCACGCGAGUGGAUGCCAAUCCCCAAAACCUCUCUCAGUUCGGACUGGAGUCUGCAACCCGACUCCACGAAGCUGGAUUCGCUAGUAAUCGCGCAUCAGCCACGGCGCGGUGAAUACGUUCCCGGGCCUUGUACACACCGCCCGUCAAGCCAUGGGAGCCGGGGGUACCUGAAGUGCGUAACCGCGAGGAGCGCCCUAGGGUAAAACUGGUGACUGGG
rnacentral:rRNA from 1 species